CCCAAGGUCACACAGGACACAGAUAAGAGCCAGUCCUGGGUUCCAGAACUGCUGACUCUGCUCUGACCCUGCUUCCAUCGCCAGCUCACAAGGAACUGAACUGCAGUUGACAUUCAAGGUGAUGGCUGCCUCUUCCUUCACCCUGGAGGCUUGGGAUGAUGCGUUGGUUGCUAGUGUUGUCACUGGCAGCAGGAGUGAGCAGUGAAGUGUGGAAUGGCUGGACCUCAGGCACUGUCAAAAAGAAGGGAAAGUAUGGAUUGUUUGCUGACAGCUGCAGCCUUGACUGUAGAAGCAGAAGAGGUCCCAAGGGUCAAUUGCAUCCCUACCUGGCUGGACUACAUCCCAGUUGGCUUGAGAAUAUCCAGCUGCCAGGGAGGUACCUGGAGGUGGAGUUAGAGCUGGCAUGGAGAAUGGGGGUCCAGGGCAGAAAACCAACCUCCAACCUUUGUCAUCUUCCCCUAGGAAGUCCCCUUUCUCUCUGGUUCUGGAUUGAAAGCUUCUUUCCUGGGUGACUUUGGGACCUUGACAUCCUCCAGGGGACAGGGCAGUGGACUGGAGCUUUGUGACUAUCCAGAUGUCAGACUCAGCCUCCCCAGGCAGGACCUCUGACAGUUGCAAGGCACUCUGUUCCCGACAAAGCACUUCUGCAUACAUAGCUUCUUCAGGCUUCCUGAUGGCUCUGAACCACGCUUACCACUUUACUGGAUUCAUUGUGAUAAACGGCCAGAUCAUACCAUCGAAACAUUCUUUGCUCCUCCAAGCUUCUUUUGAGCACAUGUAACUCGAUGGAUCGUAGAGCCUCGCCCUGCAAGGUGCUUCUGAAAGCACAAUGGAGAGGGGCAUCGCUUGUCAGCGGCAAGGGCUGUCUUUGCCUGGUGCUCAUUGACUGGCUGCCUCUUUCGCUCUGUGCUAAGCAGUAAGCAGACACAGUCUCUCCCCAGGUGUCCUACAAACUGUGCUUGCACUGGCUGCCUCCCAGUCUGCUCAUAAAGCGGAAUGAUGCAGCCUGUGAGCUGAGCUGCCAUACGGGUGGUGCUGGGCUGCUGCAUUUGUGAGAUUCUGAAUGACCCAGGAGACCCAACUCCUGGGAACAAGAGGAGACUACACACAAACAGGAACAAUCCUUAUCAGUGUGUGUAAUCAGUGACUGUUAGGCCUACUAAAAUGCACAGUGUGGAAUAUCAUGCCAUUUG
ensembl:lncRNA